UACGGAGGGUGCAAACGUUGCUCGGAAUUAUUGGGCGUAAAGCGCGUGUAGGCGGCACGCUAAGUCGAGUGUGAAAGCCCUGGGCUUAACCCAGGAAGUGCGCUCGAAACUGACGAGCUUGAGUACGGGAGAGGGUAGUGGAAUUCCCGGUGUAGAGGUGAAAUUCGUAGAUAUCGGGAGGAACACCAGUGGCGAAGGCGGCUACCUGGACCGAUACUGACGCUGAGACGCGAAAGCGUGGGUAGCAAACAGG
rnacentral:rRNA from 1 species